AACGUAGGACACAAGCGUUAUCCGGAGUUACUGGGCGUAAAGGGCGUGUAGGCGGACGUGUAAGUCUAUUCUGAAAGCUCCUGGCUAAACUGGGAGAGGCGAAUGGAGACUGCAUAUCUAGAGUGAGGAAGAGGAAAGUGGAAUUCCGCGGGUAGUGGUGAAAUGCGUAGAUAUUGGGAAGAACACCGGUGGCGAAAGCGCGCGACUGGACCUGAACUGACACUGAGGGACGAAAGCUAGGGGAGCGAAAGGG
rnacentral:rRNA from 1 species